rnacentral:rRNA from 1 species
GUGGGGAAUCUUGCGCAAUGGGCGAAAGCCUGACGCAGCCAUGCCGCGUGAAUGAUGAAGGUCUUAGGAUUGUAAAAUUCUUUCACCGGGGACGAUAAUGACGGUACCCGGAGAAGAAGCCCCGGCUAACUUCGUGCCAGCAGCCGCGGUAAUACGAAGGGGGCUAGCGUUGCUCGGAAUUACUGGGCGUAAAGGGCGCGUAGGCGGACAGUUUAGUCAGAGGUGAAAGCCCAGGGCUCAACCUUGGAAUUGCCUUUGAUACUGGCUGUCUUGAGUACGGGAGAGGUGAGUGGAACUCCGAGUGUAGAGGUGAAAUUCGUAGAUAUUCGGAAGAACACCAGUGGCGAAGGCGACAUACUGGUCCAUUACUGACGCUGAGGCUCGAAAGCGUGGGGAGCAAACAGGAUUAGAAACCCUGGUAGUCC